rnacentral:lncRNA from 1 species
CCGCCGCCGCCGCCCCCGCCCCCGCCCCCGACACGAUCAUAUGGAACUAGUUUUCUGAAUCCAAUGGAAAAUACCUUCUCGCCGCGGUUGCACUCCGUCGUUCGCGGCCGCCGCAAAUCCUGGGACCUCACCGUCUCACCGCGGCCGCCGCCUCAAACCCUCGCGGCCAACGAUCUCUGUAUCUAGGAUCAGGUUCGCUCCGAUUAAAUCGGAACAAGACUAUUGAAGCGAGACGGAAAGCGGCCGAGUUUGAAGCGAGUCGUUCGCAGGGGGGAAUUUGGGGAAUAAUCUCCCUUCUUCGUUAGAAAAGGGCAGGAGCGGGUAUGAAUU